CAAGAAAGAGGUUCGGCGAUAUUUUAUAUUUUUGAUUCCGGAGGCGUACGCGGGAGCAUAAACAUGUAACUUUUAGUGCCAUUACAUAGCUCAGUAAAAUAAUCCACCUCUAAUUAUGAGCUUGUGCACAACCCUCGUGGGUAUCCUGUAUAUAUUCUUUGCGUGCGGUAAGCACCUUUAUACUCUGGAAUCGGAAUACCUAUGUAUUCACGUUGUGGACUUUAAGAGUCACCAGCACCCUUACAUAAACCCCUUGAGAGGUUUUAAUUGCUGUAUUUGUUUAAAAGCGAUGGUGGUUUUGAAAUGGCAGUGCACAUCGAGUUAAAACACACACUUAAUUACUUUUACACUUUACCGCCAGUGUUAUCAUAAUGUUAUAAUAAUGUCCUGUCUUGUCUUUUGACCCCCAAAACGCUCAAACCCCCACUAAAACUAAGCGGACAUUGUUUGUAUUGUACAAAUAAACGAACGGUUUACCCCAAUAAUAAAAAA